GCUAUAACAGUUUGUGAAUAUGAUUUAUUUUCUUUGAGAAUACGAAUUUACAUCACCGACUUGGUGUUUAUACUACAACUCUUAUUUUGGGAAAAUGUAAAAUAGAUUUUAUGUCAUUUUUUUUACUCUCAAAAUAAGUAUAAAAUGGUCAAUAACUUCACUAUAGCAUGUUGUAGUGCCAUCAAACUCAUAGCACACAGAGAACACCUCCUCUUAAUCAUACUACAACUCUUAUUUUGGGAAAAUGUACUUAAAUAGAUUUUUUGUGGUCGAAUGAGGCUGUGGACUCCAUGAAGGCUGGCUAAAGAUUUCAGUAUUGUUUUUCAGUAUUUUUAAAAACUGACAUUUUACACCAGCGUUUUUUACAGCAGAACAAUACAAACCUUGAUAAGUCAAAAUAAAUGACACUUGAUUCCCGUAGACAGUACUUCAAGAUGCGUCGGAAUAGACUUGGCAAAGCAGACAGGGUUAACAUCAGGUGACAAGCCUGGGACGAUAACCCACACCUUCCAGAAAGAUAGGACCAGCUGUGGGGUUUUUGUCAUGGAGAUGACCAAGAUGACGGUGAUGGAAUUUCCCAACAUACCAAAGAACUUCCAUGUUGAAUCUAAAAGGUGUAUUAAAACACUCAGACAAGACAUGGCAGAAGAAAUUCUCAAAGGAUCAGAUUCAAGGUAUAUGUUCUGCUCCUUCUGUGGAAAUGGGGACCUGCUCCAUCCUGUCAUUGCUGCCCUUUGGGUGAGACAAAAAGGUUUAAUAGAUUAAUAUAGUCAGUCAGUCAGUCAGUUUCUACCGCUUAUUCCAUAGAGGGUCAUGGGGGAGCUGGUGCCUAUCUCCAGCAGUCUAUGGGCGAGAGGCGGGGUACACCCUGGACAGGUCGGAAGUCCAUC